CGGCAGUACAGGGCGGAAAUGGAGCGUAGGUGGUUUGUUAAGUUGGAUGUGAAAGCCACGGGCUCAACCUGGGAACUGCAUCUAAGUCUGGCAAGCUAGUGUAUAGUAGAAGGUAGUGGAAUUUGAUGUGUAGCCGUGAAAUGCGUAGAUAUAUGAAGGAACACCAGUGGCGAAGGCGGCUACCUCAACUGAUACUGAACCUGAGGUGCGAAAGCGAGGGGAGCAAACAGGAUUAGAAGCCCGUGUAGUCCA
rnacentral:rRNA from 1 species